UAGGGGAAAUCUUCCACAAAUGGACGCAAGUCUGAUGGAGCAACGCCGCGUGAGUGAAGAAGGGUUUCGGCUCGUAAAGCUCUGUUGUUAAAGAAGAACGUGGGUAAGAGUAACUGUUUACCCAGUGACGGUAUUUAACCAGAAAGCCACGGCUAACUACGUGCCAG
rnacentral:rRNA from 1 species